rnacentral:rRNA from 1 species
AUGAACGAAAGCCUGACAGAGCAAUACCGCGUGAGGGAGGAAGGCCCUUGGGUCGUAAACCUCUAAUCUCAGGGAAGAAAAAAAUGACGGUACCUGAGGAAUAAGCAUCGGCUAACUCCGUGCCAGCAGCCGCGGUAAUACGGCUGAUGCAAGCGUUAUCCGGAAUGAUUGGGCGUAAAGCGUCCGCAGGUGGCUUUGUAAGUCUGCUGUUAAAGAGUCUAGCUUAACUAGAUAAAAGCAGUGGAAACUACAUGGCUAGAGUGCUUUCGGGGCAGAUGGAAUUCCUGGUGUAGCGAUGAAAUGCGUAGAGAUCAGGAAGAACAACUGUGGCGAAAACUCUCUGCUAGGCCGCAACUGACACUGAAGGACGAAAGCU